rnacentral:misc_RNA from 1 species
UCUCCGUAGGUGAACCUGCGGAGGGAUCAUUACCGAGUGAGGGCUCACGCCCGACCUCCAACCCUUUGUAAUCCAUACCAUGUUGCCUCGGGGGCGACCCGGCCUUCGGGCGUCGGGGCCCCCGGUGGACCAUCAACGCUGCAUCUUUGCGUCGGAGUCUUAAUGAAUUUAAACAAAACUUUUAACAACGGAUCUCUUGGUUCUGGCAUCGAUGAAGAACGCAGC